rnacentral:rRNA from 1 species
CACGUAGGCGGGAACUUAAGUCAGGUGUGAAAGACCGAGGCUCAACCUCGGGUAUGCACUUGAAACUGGGUUUCUUGAGGGCAGGAGAGGAAAGCAGAAUUCCUGGUGUAGCGGUGAGAUGCGUAGAAAUCAGGAGGAAUACCAGUGGCGAAGGCGGCUUUCUGGACUGACCCUGACGCUGAGGUGCGAAAGCGUGGGUAGCAAACA